CAGGUUCUCGUCUGCCUUGAUUUUCACACGCUGUCACCAUUGUUGUACUUGGCGCAGUACAACUACCGUUGGUGAGCACCAUUCAUUCUGGUCUUAUUUAUAUCUUGCCAUCACGUUAUCACACUACGGAGCGCUUUCUUUUGUUUUAGUUGGUGCUACAAAGAAGUCCUAGACUAAAACGUGGCGUAAUAUCCAAUAUUCUCUAUUUUAUUAUUCUAGUCAUCCAGUUGUUGUUAUCAUGGGCACAAAAUGAGAUCCCUGCUUUGAACUAAAGUACUUUUUCACUCCGUAAACCAAAAUCUGAGAUUUCCAUCACUGUCAUCUUGGAGAGAGACACAAUAAUAGCGUCGUGUCACAAACAAACCACCGAAGCCGUGUCUUCAGCAGCCUCAACUGGAUGAAUGCACACUGGGAUUGUUACUCUCUUUAAAUAAGGAUUCUUCAAGCCUAUCAACAACAAAAAGAUGUAAUGGUGUUCUGGAGAAUCCGGCACAGAUGUUAGUAUUCCCAGCAACCCGCAUGGAGAUUUACUGCAGUCCCAUACCUCUGUUCAGCAAAUCCUUAGGAGCCUACUAAUCUAACAGCUGGCAUUUCAUCCAGCUACAACGGCCGCCUAUGUAUACAAAGCACACAUCUACAACAACAGUCCUGCUUGGCAGGCAACACAAUGCUCGCCGCCUUAAAGGAGAAGGUGUGGACACUUAUCAAGAUCCUGCACCAUCCCCAUCAGGCAAUCACGGAGCCUCUAUUAUUCUCUGAUCCUGCUCUGUGAUUGGCCAGUAGCUGAUUCUGAAGAGUCUAUGCACCUGAGCCCUCUGCAGCCAUGUCCCAGGAUGGUGCAGUAAGAGAAUGGAGGAAAUCGUACAGAUAAAGUGUAUCCAGCAGCCUCAUACACAGGGAAGUACCCACACAUCCUAUGACUGGCCACAGUGGUGACCCACCUUAUUGAAAGAUGUUUCUUUAAAAAGGUGAAGUAUCAAUAAAGAAUUGUUACAAAGCGAUUAAACUUCAAAAGGACAAUGAGGCAUAAACUCUACUGUAAAGAGUGACACAUCUAUACCACAAUUUCCCAGUGCAUGUAGUGUGGGCUCGUACAAGUAGACUAUGAAUAUUUUUAGAACAAACACUUAAACCUUCGCAUUAACAUGCAAACGCUGAUGGGCCAAAUAUGCUAUUUAUUUUAGUAAGGGAAUAAGAAUAAUCCAGAUAUUUUUGACAGCUUUUUUGGCAGUUUACCAUCCUGAGGAGCACAGGAUCAGACAUGUUAAAACACAACAAUCCCAAUGUUUUUUAUCCCCAUCAGAAAAUAUUAUGGGUCACACCUAUACACUAGCUUGUGCAAGAAUUCCAAUUUACUGACUAUAUCUAGUGCAUAUGGCCAUCUUCUUGGAAAAAUAUGUACAUGGUAAUCAUUACCAAAUUUAGGAUAAUAGAUUCCCUUUCCCAGAUUCUCCCUCUUCUAAUGUAAAAAUUUUUUUUUUACAGAAAAGAAUAUCGGUUUUGAAGUGUUUACAUAUAUUUGAAGGGACCUCAUAGAUCAAAAUGUUUCCGUCCCAGUUAAAAUGCUAUGGAGAACCAUAUACAGAUUCUUACUGCCCAGCAGCAAAGAGACCAAACAGGGCUUGGCCCUUUCUCUCCAAGGGCCCCAUAGAAGCCACAUCAUCUGACUUUAUUGUAUGUAUGUAUGUACUAGUCUACUGGUGGGUCCAUUUUCUCCAGCAUAUUUUUGUAGGACUGUUUGCUUCUGACGCAAAGUCUAACAGAUUAGCAGAUGAGUGUUUUGUGCCUUUUUCCCUUAUUGAAUUUAGCUGAUAAUGUCUUUAAUGUAUUUUCAUAUAAUAAUCCCCUUUAAAGCAUGACAACUUAGUGACUGAUUGAGUAGUAUGUAUCAGAAAGAGAUUGUACAUAUGAUUAAUAACUUAGUUUGUUGUUGUUGCUAAACAAGCUAAUUCAGUUUACAUAGAUGAAAUACAUGAAAGUGAUAACUAUUUACUAUUGUUAUAAAAAUGUUAGUCUGUAAAAAGCCUUUGUAUUUAAUGUAUAGUGCAGAUUGUCUCUAUCUUUUCCUAGAACCCAGAAGCUGUGCAUCAUUUUUACUGAUAUACUUAGCCUGGAUUUGUGGGAAUCCAUUACAAUAACCCCUGGGC